GGCCAUAUCAUGUUGAAAUGCCAGAUCACCGAAGUUAAGCAAUGUUGAGCCUUGUCAGUACCUAGAUGGGUGACUGCUUGGGAAUACCAGGUGAU